rnacentral:tRNA from 1 species
UGGCAUAAUGGUUAAAGCUCUUGGCUGCUAACCAAAAGGUGGGUGGUUAGAACCCACC